rnacentral:lncRNA from 1 species
AUGGAGAUGAGGAAUCUCCCAUCUCCAGCCUCCAGCAGCUCAUUUCCAUCACCCGAUCAGGUAGAGGAGAAAGCACAGCCAGAGAGCCAGCAAAUGGCCGAAACUGCAACAGUUUUCCAGGAAGAGCUGAGAAGUUGGAAAUCCACAGACUCUUGUGAUGGGGUUCUGAGGGCUGCUGCCGACACUGAGGGGGAGGUAUCUACCCCUGACCUGGCAGACAGCUGCUGUCAGGCCUUUCAGGAAACCUCUAUUCCUACUUCCACGGCCCAGACAGUUCAAGCCUUGCUCAUUGAAGGCCAGGAAGAAUAUGAAAAGACUGAGACCGGUAGAGAGACUACACAAAGUCCUCUAAAUCAAAAGAUCUCAGAGAAAGAGGCAGAAGAUUUCAGAGAAAGCGAGGACAUCUGGAUCCCUGAGACAGGAUCAACUUUUAGACUCUCCUCCAGGCCAGAGGAGAACAGGAGGGCAACUUCAUCUGCUUUCUGUUCGUGCACAACCUCAGCCAUGUUUGAGGUAGCAAACAUGAUUGAUGGCCAAGUAAUUGAGAAGGCCAUUAGGACACUAGAGUCCAUUGAUUCUGAUGGCAAAGCUGAGAGUCCAGCCAGCAAGACAUUUUUCAAAAACAUAAGGACAGCAUGGAAGAAACGCUUUGGUAAAAAGCAGCGUAAAAAGAUUACGACCGUUUCAGACUAUCAUAAGGGUCAGAAAGAGCAGGAUGAGGCUCCCGCUGAGCACCAAAUGUCUUUUGGUCUACAGCAAUUAUUUGCUGAGCCCCUUGAAGUGAAACCUUCAGAGGCCGACAACGACCUGGUCAUGACAAUAUAUUUACCUCCAGAAAAAUCAGAAGAGGAUGGACAUUCUGUAUUUUCUAAGGAGGAAAAUAAAGCAGCAGCAGACCAGCUGUUAGUCCUGGAUUCUUCCACAAUUUCAGCUAUAAUAAGGAGAUUCUUCCAGAGUCUCAGGGAAGAGCAAUGGAGGGAAGUAAGCGAAGGUGUUUACAAUCAAGAUGUAAAGGAGCAGCUGAUUUACAUGUGCACGGAUGUGCUGAGGUUCAUCUCAGACUCAGUCAUUAAAAUCGUCUUACAGUCAAUGAGACCCUUAUCCUCGAAGCAUUUGAUGGAGUAUUUCAACUACAACUUUCAGAGUAGUUUGGAAAGCUCCUUCAGUCAGGCUUUCUGUGAAAUAAUUGGUAGUGACAUACCUGUAAGGAUUUCGCACAAAUUCACAGAGGCCAUAGUGGGAGAGGUAAUUGAAGAGGUUAAUUCUGCCAUAUCAGUGGCCAUACAAGCCUCAUUGGAUGGAGGAUUCUCCAGUGCCACUGUUCUCGCCAGCUGCCAGAUGUCAAAGGACAGAGCAGCCAAGAAGAGUUUGGCAGGAGCUAUUGCAACUAUGAAAUCCUUUCUCACAGGACGAGGCACUGCAGUCAAGAGAAGGAUUCAGACAAAGAGCGGUGUAGAUCCUGACGUUAAAGAGGUGUCCACCAAGAAAAAAGAGUCACUGUGGAAGAGAUUUUUCAGUGGAAGGCAGAGAAAAGUCCAGUCGGUUGCGGUAGAAGAUUUGAACGGAGCUGCCAGGUCAGCCAGCGCUGACUUGACAUCGACGUACACUCUAGAGAAACAACAGCUUUCAUGGUUUCUUCGAGAGUCCUCCACAUCCUCUCCCAGUGCUGCCCUGAAGACAGACCUGUGGUCAACUCCGCUAGAGUUGGUAGACUACGUGGAGGUUGAGGACACACUUGAUACACUAGAAGACACCAGAAAUGUUAUUUCAUCUCUGUCUUCUAUCAGCUCAAUUCCACUAGAUCAUCAGGUGUUUGAGGUCACUAGGCCCAAAUUCCUCGAGGACACACCUUUGUCCACUGAUGGGCUCCAAGACGAGAUGAACACUUCUUCUCAGUCUCCGUCCGAUGAUUCUGGUGACAAGGAAACCUUUAUUCAAAUCUCUGCCAGCCGGUGUCUCAGUGUCAAGGAAAACAAGGCUAAGGAGAGAAACGGCUUCUGCGGCUUUUUCUGCAACAUCUUCUCAAAGAAGGAAAAGAAGGAGGAGAAGAAGAAGGAGGAGGAGAAGAUAAAGACUCCUCUGUGGAUGCAGCUGUUUUGCUUCCCCCCCCCCAAACUUUUAAAUAAACAUUAAAAGGUUUACCUUUAGAUAGACAUACUGCAGACUGUGUUAUUCAGUGGUUUUCUCUUUAUACUGUACGGAUAUUUAAAUAUUGAUGGUACAACUGGUUUGUUAAACACCUGAGGAACAUGAACUUUUCCUGUAUCAGUCUGAUACAUAGACAUUAAAAUAAAUGGACACAGCAACACCAUAGACUUCGACGGAGACCAGUGAAGUCAAUUAGAAGCGUUCAUUACAGCCACAAUAUGUCCAAUGUUUACCUGCAGAGGAGGUAAUGCUUGAUAAAUACUUUGUAUACUCUACUUUGUAUAUCACAUUGCACUUUUCUGCUUCUUUUGCACUUCUGGUUGCACGCAAACUGCAUUUCGCUGUCUUUGUACUUGUACACUGCACAAUGACAAUAAAGUUGAAUCUAAUCUAAAUGAGGUGUGUGACGGUUGGAGCACUUUAAAGCUUGAAUGGACAUAACACUCUCCUGGUUGAAUCAUCAGUACAAAAGAUGAACAACUGUGUUAGAAAAUAUCUGGUUCUUUGAUAAAUAAAUAAAAAGUCAAAGCUACAAAUCUGUGGGAUCCAAUCCAACCUGUGGACAUGACAAUUGAAGCAGAUAAGUCAAAUAUGACUCCUAAGGUGCAUUUCAGUAAGAAAAGGUCUUAACUAACACACUAUUUGUUAAGAGAGAUUCACAGCACUGCCUACUGGAAAGGGUCGGUAGUUCAUGAGUGUCAGUUUCACCUGCCGCUGCCAGUCACCUUGUAACAAAGACUUGGUACAGAUUGCUGAUGCAUUCAGAGUUUCUGCUUUUC